CUUAGUGACGGACGGGUGAGUAACGCGUGGGGAACCUGCCCUGUACAGGGGGAUAACACUUAGAAAUAGGUGCUAAUACCGCAUAAGCGCACAGUAUCGCAUGAUACAGUGUGAAAAACUCCGGUGGUACAGGAUGGACCCGCGUCUGAUUAGCUGGUUGGCGGGGUAACGGCCCACCAAGGCGACGAUCAGUAGCCGGCCUGAGAGGGUGAACGGCCACAUUGGGACUGAGACACGGCCCAAACUCCUACGGAAGGCAGCAG
rnacentral:rRNA from 1 species